ACUGUGAUUGCUAGAUUCUAUGGUAAAAGUAUAUUUAGUUUUGCCAAACUGUUUUCCAAUGUGUCUGUACCAUUUUGCACUCCCACCAGCAAU
rnacentral:pre_miRNA from 1 species